ensembl:lncRNA
CAGCGACUCCUGCUUUGGGGCAACUGCUCCAAGGAAAUUCUUACUUUUGGGGGCAGGUGUAUCUACAAACCGCCUACUGCCUGUGGGAGCUGAUGUUCAGAUGAUCUGUGGAACGCCAGCCCUUGUGGAGUGGGACUGAGUGCUGGGUAGUGUGGAUUGGGCUGCUGCUCCGUGGGCACAUGGGAUAGAUGUAGUGGUAGCACAGACCCUGCUCAGACGAGCUGGUAUUUGUAUACAUGGUCAGCUACAUCAGCAAGUCUUUGUAUCCCAGGGUUUUGCUUUCAGGGUAAUCUCAUGUGCUGCGAUGCUGCUUCCCAUCAGCAGUUCUGUAUGUCAGUAUGUAAAGUACAUUAUACCAUGUGUUAAGCUGUGAAAGGAAUUGGCAUGUGCUCAGAUGCAUUUGGUGUUUCCCUUCCUCACACCAAGUCAAGGAUGUGCUUCAACUGAAAUGUGGAAUGAGGGGAGGUAGAGCAAUGCCCCUGUUAUGCCCUUGUCCAAAGAAGUGCUCCUGCCAAAACAGAUGCCUGACUGGCAAGCAACCCACCUGCCUGCAGCCAGCAGACCAUCCCCUGCGCCGAGUUGCAGCUGGGCAAGGUUGUGUGGUUAUUCCAAAAGCACCGUCUGUUUUCCAGGAGUUGUUUUUGAUAUUGAUGUUCACACGUCCAUGACUACCUUGCUUAGCUAACUAAGGAGACUGCAUGCUAGGGAUGUUACAUACUGCCUACGACGUGUCACAUGUGACCCUGUAAUGGCGUGUGCUUGGAGUAGGGAUGUUUCUAUGAAUUGUCAAGCUGCGUGAGGCAUCGUGCUGUUCCUAGAUAACUGAGAGUAUGCCUGAAAUGUACAGGGAAAGAACAAAGAGAAGAAAUCGAGUGUUGUAAUGCCACAAAAGAAAGCUUAACUUGUUUUCUUGCUUUUUUUUUAGAGAACACCUGUUCCCAGCGCUGAAGCAUUCCGAUGGUUCUUUUAAGCAGUAGUAUAUCUUAUUUUCAAGGCAGUCCGAAGUGAAUGGCAAGCUAAAGUCUUGUUUUAAGAAACUGCUUAGUCUACCACUGAAGAAUAUACUCAGAUACUAUUUUCAUUUCUGUAUAGGGGUUUCCUCAAAAGCAAAAGACAAAAAUCUGGGAGCCUGGGGAAUUGGCCAGCUUAUUCACAUUCAGUACACUGAUUCUUUCUUUGAUGUAACUUAGCUAUACUAGUGAAGUUGUUGUCUAUUUUUAAAGUGGCUGUAAAAAAAAAAAAGAAAAAAAAACACAAAAAAAGCCAAAAAAAACAAAAAAAGUUUGGGUAAACCCCUGCUAUAAAGUCAUGUAUCUUUGAAAAGUAACAUAUCUAUACUUCAUUUUCAAAUAUAUGUGUUUCAGUACUGUAAACUGUACAGAUAGCCGCUUGUAUUUUGUGUGUUUAGACACAAGGAGACAAUCAUGUCUGAGCAUCUAUGGAGAUUAAUGGUUUGUACACAACGGUGUGGUUCUGCGAGUUAAAUCCGGAGCAAUAAAUCCUAGCUUUAAAUAUUAUUUUGCUAGUUGUUUAGCAGCAGCAGCAACAGCAGCACUGUUUUACCAUGCAUCCUUCUAUAGAGACUUGAUACCAAGUUUUGCAAGAUAAAAAGAUUGUGAUGCAUCUAGCAAUUACCUUCCGUCGUGGUGUUUUAAGAGGGGAAGACAUAAAAUGUAAGAUUAAUCUUUCACGCACUAUGUUAGAGUAGUGGUUAAUGCACUUGCAUUGCUUCCGAAAGAGCUUUACAUAGGGGUAUCCAUCCAAAAAUGCUGUAUGGUGUUUGACCCACUUUUCACUGUGUUCUAAGGCCAAGUGCCCAGCCUAUGUAGAUGUGCGUAAAGUUUGUUCUAGGAUGCAAAAUGAAGUGAGCACGAGCCCUUAGUAUAAACAAGGACUCAGCUUCAUUGCCCUCCGUGUACGGGUUCUUACGUAAAGUUUUUGGUCAGUGGAGUAACUGUUUUGUAAAGCUGAAUGCAAUACUUCUGGUCCAAGAGGAGCUCUUUAUGGUUCAGGUUUGACCACUGGGUCUCACUUGCAGUUGUGUUUAUUUGAGAACCUGAAUAUUUUUGGGUAUAAAACUGAAUUUAUAAAUACUACAAUAAC